rnacentral:rRNA from 1 species
UACGUAGGGUGCAAGCGUUAAUCGGAAUUACUGGGCGUAAAGCGUGCGCAGGCGGUGAUGCAAGACAGAUGUGAAAUCCCCGGGCUUAACCUGGGAACUGCAUUUGUGACUGCAUUGCUGGAGUGCGGCAGAGGGGGAUGGAAUUCCGCGUGUAGCAGUGAAAUGCGUAGAUAUGCGGAGGAACACCGAUGGCGAAGGCAAUCCCCUGGGCCUGCACUGACGCUCAGGCACGAAAGCGUGGGGAGCAAACAGG